rnacentral:rRNA from 1 species
CACGCCGUAAACGAUGAGUGCUAGGUGCUGCGGGUAUUGACCCCUGCGGUGCCGUAGCUAACGCGUUAAGCACUCCGCCUGGGGAGUACGGCCGCAAGGCUAAAACUCAAAGGAAUUGACGGGGGCCCGCACAAGCGGUGGAGCAUGUGGUUCAAUUCGACGCAACGCGCAGAACCUUACCUGGGUUAAAUCCACUCGAAUCUGGCAGAGAUGCCGGGGUGCCUUUCGGGGAACGAGUGAGAAGGUGC